rnacentral:rRNA from 1 species
AACGAACGCUGGCGGCAUGCCUAACACAUGCAAGUCGAACGAGACCUUCGGGUCUAGUGGCGCACGGUUGCGUAACGCGGGGGACCUUGCCUUUAGGUUCGGAAUAACCCCCCGAAAGGGGUGCAAUUACCGGUAAAUGCUUUCGGCCAAAAGAUUUAUCGCCUUUGGAUGGGCCCGCGUUGGAUUAGCUAGUUGGUAGGGUAAAAGCCUACCAAGGCGACGAUCCAUAGCUGGUCUGAGAGGAUGAUCAGCCACACUGGGACUGAGACACGGCCCAGACUCCUACGGGAGGCAGCAGUGGGGAAUAUUGGACAAUGGGCGAAAGCCUGAUCCAGCAAUGCCGCGUGAGUGAUGAAGGCCUUAGGGUUGUAAAGCUCUUUUACCCGGGAUGAUAAUGACAGUACCGGGAGAAUAAGCUCCGGCUAACUCCGUG